UACAGAGGUCUCAAGCGUUGUUCGGAUUCAUUGGGCGUAAAGGGUGCGUAGGUGGCGCCGUAAGUCGGGUGUGAAAUUUCGGAGCUUAACUCCGAAACUGCAUUCGAUACUGCGGUGCUUGAGGACUGGAGAGGAGACUGGAAUUCCCGGUGUAGCGGUGAAAUGUGUAGAGAUCGGGAGGAACACCGGUGGCGAAGGCGGUCUUCUGGACGGUGACUGACGCUGAGGCGCGAAAGCGUGGGGAGCAAACGGG
rnacentral:rRNA from 1 species